GUCCACGCCCUAAACGAUGGAUACUCGACAUACGCGAUACACUGUGUGUGUCUGAGCGAAAGCAUUAAGUAUCCCACCUGGGAAGUACGUUCGCAAGAAUGAAACUCAAAGGAAUUGGGCGGGGGUCCGCACAAGCGGUGGAGUAUGUGGUUUAAUUCGAUGAUACGCGAGGAACCUUACCUGGGCUAGAAUGCUGGGAGACCGCUAGUGAAAGCUUAGUUUUGUAGCAAUACACUGCCAGUAAGGUGCUGCAUGGCCGUCGU
rnacentral:rRNA from 1 species